GCACCGAUGGUGAAGUGGUAUCAUGAGCUGCGCGGUGGUGGCCCCCUGCGGGGCAGUCGGCCCUGGGGGGCCACCACUCCGCAGCUAGGCACGGGUUCGAUUCCCGUUUGGUGUA